GCUGGCGUAGCUCAGUCGGCAGAGCAGCCGCCUUGUAAGCGGCAGGUCGUGGGUUCGAUUCCCUCCGCCAGCUC
rnacentral:tRNA from 2 species